rnacentral:rRNA from 1 species
GACGAACGCUGGCGGCGUGCUUAACACAUGCAAGUCGAACGGUGAAGCGCCUUCCUUUUUGGUGGGUGUGGAUGAGUGGCGAACGGGUGAGUAACACGUUAGUAACCUGCCCCCUUCUUCUGGAUAACCGCAUGAAAGUGUGGCUAAUACGGGAUAUUCUGGGUCUGUCGCAUGAUGGGUCUGGGAAAGAUUUUGUUUCGGUGGGGGAUGGUCUCGUGGCGGAUCAGCUUGUUGGUGGGGUGAUGGCGUACCAAGGCGGCGAUGGGUAGCCGGCCGGAGGGGAGGGUGGGCGACCAUAGAGGGGAGGCGAGGCCGAGAAGCCUACGGGGGGAAGCAGCAGGGAAGAUUAUUGCACAGGGGGAGCACGCAUGCAGCCGCGCCGCGUGGGGGAGGAUGGCGGCCUGCGUGUUGUGAACCUCUUUCGGGAGUGAAGAAGGCCAGCCUAGUUUGUGGGUGGGUUGACGGUAGCUGGAUAAGAAGCGCCGGCUAACUACGUG